rnacentral:rRNA from 1 species
GACGAACGCUGGCGGCGUGCUUAACACAUGCAAGUCGAACGGAAAGGCCCUGCUUUUGUGGGGUGCUCGAGUGGCGAACGGGUGAGUAACACGUGAGUAACCUGCCCUUGACUUUGGGAUAACUUCAGGAAACUGGGGCUAAUACCGGAUAGGAGCUCCUGCUGCAAGGUGGGGGUUGGAAAGUUUCGGCGGUUGGGGAUGGACUCGCGGCUUAUCAGCUUGUUGGUGGGGUAGUGGCUUACCAAGGCUUUGACGGGUAGCCGGCCUGAGAGGGUGACCGGCCACAUUGGGACUGAGAUACGGCCCAGACUCCUACGGGAGGCAGCAGUGGGGAAUAUUGCACAAUGGGCGGAAGCCUGAUGCAGCAACGCCGCGUGCGGGAUGACGGCCUUCGGGUUGUAAACCGCUUUCGCCUGUGGCGAAGCGUGAGUGACGGUAAUGGGUAAAGAAGCACCGGCUAACUACGUG